CUGUGGAGACCUUGAGUAGUACCUCGGAGGUGGUCCAUAACCAACAAUAAAGGCAGUGCAGAGCAGCUAGAAGUCCUUCUUUAAACCCAGUGGGGGCUUCCUGAGGAUUCGGAGCCAUUUGGCUUUGCUGGGUCACUCCAGGAAAGAUACAAGUCCUGCAUCCUGGAGCAAUGAAACUUUUAUCAAGGCAGCAACAGCAACAGCCACUAAGCACUCCCCUCUUCAUGCUCAUCUUUAAGUUUCCCUCUGGUUAACGAUCGAAACCAAAUUCUAUCCCUUGUUAAUUGGCCACCAGAUAUAAUUGCGUGAGUAGGAAAUAGCUAAGUAGGUAGGAAAGUGGUUGGACGCUCUCGCUUUCUGUGGCAUUUUUUGCAUUUAUGCUGGUUCUUUAACCAAUUCUUCUAACCCAUGUUUGAGUGCAGCAAAAUGGCAGUUUUAAGCAGUAGUAAGAGAGUCUAGGCUUGAAUAUUUCAGAGUUUAACUGCAAAAUGGGUGCAUAGUUUCUGCACGGACCAGAACAUUUUGGGUCAUAUCAGAUUGCAUCUCUUGUCUGGAGGACUUGCCAGAGUCUUCUUGUUAGGCUGGCUGGGGCAAGGUUGAGAGCACAGAGAGAAGAAUGGAGACGGGAUGUAAAGCCCCUGGGAUGGAUGGUAAGAGUUUGUGUAAGACCAUGUCCAACUCUUGAGAGUGAUGCUGACUUCCAGGUUUUACCCUUUUCCUCUGUCUUAGAAGUAUACUAGGCAGAGAGAGGGAAUUAGAAGAAAGUGACAUAGACUCAUGACCUCGUCCCCUGGUGAAGUAUCAAGAUCUGUGUGGGUUUGGGUGUGCUACUCACUUGCAAAAUAACCCAGUCUUGGUCUGUUCUCUUGGUGUGUAGUGUUCGUUUUCUCUACCAGAGAGCCCGUAAGGUCAUUUUGGACAGGGAUAUUAUGUCCCUCAGGCUCCUACUGAGAUGGCACACAAACUAGGACAGUUCAAGGAGGGUUUAAUAGAGGAAAAAGCACCUGGCCUCAGUAACCAGCUGGUUGAUUAAGAGGUUGCUUUUGGCAUCUCAAUGGCUCUUUUUCCUUAUCUGUAUAGUAGCAACGCACCUGCCUGCUUUCAGGCCCCACAGGAAAGGAAUUGCUUACAUCUAUCUGAGCCGCCCUAAAAGAACCUGACUACAAGAAUGAUUUUAAAGCAUAAUUUAAACCAAAGCAAUAACAGACCUCUAAAAGCCCUGAUCAAGAGUCCUAAAUAAAUUCACCUUCUGUAAUUGCCAGUACAUGUCUAUGUCCUCAACUUUAUGAACCAACUCCAGCAUCGCAGAGCUGACAUCACUCCUUGAUCAAUCUUCAGGAAGGAAUUUACUUCUCUAAUAACAUGCUUCUCAACAUCAGGCUGGUCCCAGAAUGACCAUCAAACAGAGGCAAUGUGAACAGCUGGGAGUAUCUGAUGGCAGUAAACACAGAUGUGCCUGACAGGACAUUAACUGCUUAGCACGUUGAUGUAACUGACUUCUUAACGUUCAGCAAGGCUUUGUGGUCCCUGAGAUGCUGCUGCCUGGGAAUAAUGAUCGGCGCACUCCCCAUCCUCUCUUUGGCGAAGGUGUUUCUGCGGCAUCUGAUGCAGUGCUUCAGCUUGGUGUUAAUUACGAGAUCAGCUCAAGGCCUGUGAUUUAGAGCCUGGGCUCGGAACCCUUUUGGUAAUUCAGUUCCCGUAAGUCUGUGUUAUUGGCUCCCGAAUGCACUUGCUUAAGCUAAUUAAAAAAUAAGCUGAAGAAAUUCAUUUCUUAUGCAAAAUUAAAUCUGAUAUACACACUGAAUAUUGCACCUUGUCACGUUCAUUUCUAGCUCAAUUCUACCUUUUACUGCUCACUUGCAGCCUGAGAAUUCCCAUUUAAAGCAAAUGUUUGGAUUCUUGAAGAGAGAGAAUUGGCCUUUUUGAAAAUGUUUGGUUACAAAACAACUUUGAUCAAGUAUUAAAGUAUAAAAAAGAUUGUUAACGUUCUUUUGUGGCAUUAUGAGUCAACCAACAUCGUCACGAGACUGACAAAUUGAUAGUCUCUUGGUGAAAUGGGAAUAAUCCUUCAAAUAACACGUCCUUUGCAUAAAAAUGGCAUUGGUGGACCUGACAGGCAUGAGACAGCAGCAGUGAUAACUUGAAGAGUGUUGACUGUCACCUCUACCCUGUCCUUCCCAAUCUACCUAGUAUCAGUGUCACGUAUGCGGAUGGAUAGAAUUAAGAGCAGGGUUUGCAAGAAAUAAAACCUCCUUUUGUUUUUUUAAUCCACAUAAACAAACACAUAAAACUAAAGCUAUCCAGUUUCAGACCAAUGUGCUCCGUAUCUGUUCACUGCUGGGCUUCCAGAUCUGGUGGAGAAAAAUCUCAGGGCAGGGUCACUUGCUAACGUUUCUAACCCAGGCCGACUGUCUUAAAAACACAUUCUUCAGGCACAGGCUAUACUUUCCAGUGAAAUACAUCACUGCUCCUGAAAAUCUUCUGAAUAGCCUCAGACCACUGUUGAUGGGUCAAGAGUGUCACUGUCACAUAAAGCACUUGGCAAAAACUUUGAAAAACUUGAGCACUAUUUUUUAUUAGAGAAUUGCUAAAGUCAGGAUGGCAAGCAGGUUUUA
ensembl:lncRNA